rnacentral:tRNA from 1 species
GCCGGGGUGGCCGAGCCAGGUCCAAGGCGCGGGCCUGGAGAGUCCGUCCCCGCAAGGGGGCCCGGGUUCAAAUCCCGGCCCCGGCA